AACGGUCCUAAGGUAGCGAAAUUCCUUGUCGGGUAAGUUCCGACCCGCACGAAAGGCGUAACGAUUUGGGCACUGUCUCAACAACAGACUCGGUGAAAUUGUAAUUCCGGUGAAGAUGCCGGAUACCUGCGACAGGACGGAAAGACCCCAUGGAGCUUUACUGUAGCUUGACCUUGGGUCUUGGUACUACAUGUACAGGAUAGGUGGGAGGCUUUGAAACCAGGACGCCAGUUUUGGCGGAGCCAUCCUUGGGAUACCACCCUUGUAGUACUGGGACUCUAACCAUAGGCCAUGAAUCUGGUCUUGGGACACUGUCAGGUGGGCAGUUUGACUGGGGCGGUCGCCUCCCAAAAGG
rnacentral:rRNA from 1 species